GAGGAAGUAAAAGUCGUAACAAGGUUUCCGUAGGUGAACCUGCGGAAGGAUCAUUAUCGAGUUUUGAACGGGUUGUAGCUGACCUCUUUUUGGGGUAUGUGCACGCCUGGCUCAUCCACUCUCAACCUCUGUGCACUUCAUGUAAGAGAACGGUGUAAGCUGAUUUUGUAAAGAAGUCAGUGACAAGCCUUCUCUUGCGUUUUACCACAAACACUUCAGUUAUAGAAUGUUUACUGUGUGUAACACAAUUAUAUACAACUUUCAGCAACGGAUCUCUUGGCUCUCGCAUCGAUGAAGAACGCAGCGAAAUGCGAUAAGUAAUGUGAAUUGCAGAAUUCAGUGAAUCAUCGAAUCUUUGAACGCACCUUGCACUCCUUGGUAUUCCGAGGAGUAUGCCUGUUUGAGUCUCAUGGUAUUCUCAACCCCUAAAUUUUUCUAGUGAAGAUUUGGUGGGCUUGGACUUGGAGGUUGUGUUGGCUCUCGCUAGUCGACUCCUCUGAAAUACAUUAGUGUGAACCUUACGGAUCGCCUUCAGUGUGAUAAUUAUCUGCGCUGUGGUGGUGAAGUAUUUAUUGUAUUCACGCUUCUAACCGUCUCUCCUUCGAGACAAAUACUUUGACAAUCUGAGCUCAAAUCAGGUAGGAUUACCCGCUGAACUUAAGCAUAUCAAU
rnacentral:rRNA from 1 species